rnacentral:rRNA from 1 species
AACGCGAAGAACCUUACCCAGGUUUGAAAUACAGUGGAAGAUACCAGAGAUGGUAAUUCUCGAAAGGGCUGCUGUAUAGGUGCUGCAUGGCUGUCGUCAGCUCGUGCCGUGAGGUGUUGGGUUAAGUCCCGCAACGAGCGCAACCCUUAUCAUUAGUUGCCAACACGUGAGGUGGGGACUCUAGUGAGACUGCCUAGGUUAACUAGGAGGAAGGUGAGGAUGACGUCAAGUCCGCAUGGCCUUUAUGUCUGGGGCUACACACGUGCUACAAUGGUCGGUACAGAAGGCAGCAAAGCCGUAAGGUGGAGCAAAUCCGUAAAGCCGAUCUCAGUUCAGAUUGUGGUCUGCAACUCGACCACAUGAAGUUGGAAUUGCUAGUAAUGACGUGUCAGCAACAACGUCGUGAAUACGUUCCCGGGCCUUGUACACACCGUAGAGAC